UUUUUUUUUUUGUUUUGGGGUUUUUUUCCCCCAAGUUUUCCUGCCUAUAAUGAGGAUGAAUAUUCAAAACAGGAAUUAAAACCAAUAUAUUGCUUGUAUCCAAGCACUAUAUGAGGAAUAUAUGAACUAAUAUGAGGAAGGCAGCUAUAUUGCAGUGUGGUACAGUGACAUUUUAGACUUUGCACUGAUCCUCUUCCCAGGCUGUGCUGUCUUAAGAUCGUGGCCCAAGACAGCAACCCAUCUGUUGGUAGUGCGUGGGGCUGGGGAGCUGUUAGCUUCCAUCCUUCGGGGUGGAGGUGAAGGGGAUUCAAGAAGCAGAGAAGUAGACAGCCUGUUCCUUAUGGGACAUGGUGGAAACUGUUAAACUGCUGCUUCUCAGCACUGAAGAAGAAUGUACCCAUUAAGUCAUCUUGUCAGUUGCAUUCAAUCAUGAGGGUGCUUUAAUUGCAUGAGUCAAAAUAUCAGUGAAGUUACUUGAUUAGUAUUUAUAAAGAGUGCCAAAAUAGGAAAUGUUUUACACAGGCACAGGUGAUGUUAGCCAGCCUCCUGCUGGGACAAGGCUUGGAAGACAGCAGGAGGCCUGUGGCUUCUUGUAGACCUUAGGUCCCAUUGCCCCAUGUUCACAUGUGUGCAGGAAAGUUGGUGUGCUGCUGCUUGGCAGUGGAGUCCACGGAAACACAGGGUUUGUUCAGAGUCACUGCAGUCAGAAGGAACAGCUCAAACUACCCAGUGUAGCUUGGUAAAGACACUGGUAGCAUCUGCUACGGCUGAACUACACGUGUGAUUAGGUACUUUUAUGAGGAAUAUGUCAGGCCUGCUCUGAAAACUGUAUCUGCUUGUUUGGUGCUGGAAUGAAUUAACUGCUGCUUAAAAAGUAGUGGGAUUGCCGUCUGGAAGUCAGUCAGAAACAAUAGUUAACCUGAACUCUUCUUUUAGAAAGUACAACUUGAAAGCAGUUGCUAUCCCAAACUUUAAAUAUGAAUUUCACAGAACAGGAACAACUUUUGAAAUAUUAACUGAACAAAGACUUUAUUUAGUAACUUUUUACGUUAUAUCUAAUGUCUUCAGCUGUUCACUUGGUCUUGGAAUGGUAGGUGGUACCUUUUGCGAUUUUAAAGGCAUUAGCUUAAAAUGUUUACAUUUUUACUAGUAUUGUGAUUUUAUGUUUUCCUAUGGUAAUUAUAUUAAUAGUUAUUUUACAGUGGUGUGUACAUAUUUGGAAAUACUGUCAGAGCUGAUGUACAAUUAAUGUAGAUUGCCUUGGUAGAAAAAGGCAGAUUUGGACACUAAUGUAUUGUGAACUGUUAGAAUAGAAAUCUUUUGCUGCUAACAUGAUAUGUUUCUGUUAAAAUAUGCAAGUGAAAUUAAAGUUCCUAGAGUAAAAGGCUUUUGGUGUAAUUUUCUUCAAUCUAAAACUACAUUAAGCUUUACUCCAGUUUAUAAACCAUGGGUGAUGGCUGCUGUAAAAUAAGAACUUAGGAGUAGCUACUUUUCUGCUGGGCCUGCUGAAUGUAUCCCUCUAGGCUGGUGCUGACAAUAACAAGCAGUGUUUGCCUCAGUUUUCUAAACUGGAGGGAGAAAAAUCCCAAACAUCUGGCAGCUAGCACGAUUGCUCAAUGAAUUGUCCAACGUGUCCAACAGAUCUCUGUGUGAAUAUGUAAUGUUAGAAAUGUUAGGUGAGCUGCACCUUGUUUCCACAAAUGUGCCUAAAGAGUUCAGGUGCUUUUUUUUACUUCUCUCAUAGUCUUGCAAGAAAGUGUGUCAUGAAGCAGAUUUACAUAAUUCCAUCUGCUGUGUAAGGUGACGCCAUAAAUGAGUCACUGACACGACUAAUACCAGCCAUUAUUUUUCUUUCUUUCAUAGGCAGCCUUGUGCUGAAGGGAAACUCCUGUUUACCUCACUGGCUAGAGCUUAGUGUAGCGUUGCUAAUUUAAAACCAACCGUGCCAUUCAACAGGAAAAAUGUUAGGGAGGUGUAGCUGGCACAAGGAAGUCGCUUUGUCCACAUUGCAUUUGUUUUUCAGAUGGCAGCAGCUGCUUUACUUCGUUUGGUUUUGGAUGAUUCUUACUCUGUAGUCCCUCGUGUCUGUAUGCAAGGGCUGAGAGCUUUUAAAAUAAACUGAGCACAUUUUAACUGA